UACGGGGGGGGCAAGCGUUGUUCGGAAUUAUUGGGCGUAAAGGGUUCGUAGGUGGCCGGCUAAGUCAGACGUGAAAUCCCUCAGCUUAACUGGGGAACUGCGUCUGAGACUGGUCGGCUUGAGUGCAGGAGAGGAACGCGGAAUUCCAGGUGUAGCGGUGAAAUGCGUAGAUAUCUGGAGGAACACCGGUGGCGAAGGCGGCGUUCUGGACUGCUACUGACACUGAGGAACGAAAGCCAGGGGAGCAAACGGG
rnacentral:rRNA from 1 species